UACAGAGGUCUCAAGCGUUGUUCGGAUUCAUUGGGCGUAAAGAGCUCGUAGGCGGCUCAGUAAGUCGGGUGUGAAACCCUCAGGCUCAACCUGGGGACGCCACCCGAUACUGCUGUGGCUAGAGUCCAGUAGGGGAGUGUGGAAUUCCCGGUGUAGCGGUGAAAUGCGCAGAUAUCGGGAGGAACACCAGCGGCGAAGGCGGCACUCUGGGCUGGAACUGACGCUGAGGAGCGAAAGCGUGGGUAGCAAACAGG
rnacentral:rRNA from 1 species